ensembl:lncRNA LINC02773 long intergenic non-protein coding RNA 2773
CCCGGGCUGCCUGGGAGUCACUGGGGAGUCCUAGCCCGCCCUUGGGCCUAGGGCUCCCUGAUGCGGCCUCCACUCUUCGCAGGGCCAGGGGGCGAGGAAGGAGGAGGGAGGGAAGAGGGAAGCUGGGGAGUGGGAGAGCGUCCUCCACGACCGCUUGGGUCCUCCGCGGGGCAGCCUCGGGGAGGGUGGCUGCAGGGCCCGGAGUCGCCUGGAUCGCAGCGCCAUCUCGUGGCUGCUGGCAGGUCUGCCUUGGGCCCUCUUGGCACAAGGCAAGGAAACAGGAGCUCUUCCCAUCAGUGACAGGUGCCCGCCGGCCCGCACCCAGGAGAAUGCUCCAGUGUCACCAGUGACUCCUGCUCCCACAUCUGCCUACAGGAAGCCCUCUUGGAACAAAAGCAUCUCACUUCUGGGAGGCAUCAAGUAUGUGCAUCACCAGCAGGACAGACUUGCAGCGCCUAUUCUGAGUGAAAAAGAGAAUCUUUUGGUGCUACCCUCAACCAACCUCAUCCUUUCUCCACUUGGAUUCUUCUCAACAUUGACCCUCUUGAAAAGAUCAUAAAAACUCACUUUAAGGUGUAUAUGAGGAGUUUUGUCUCCCAGGAAGGUUUGCAUUGUAUCUGUAAUGGUGGAGUCUCAGGCAUUGACUUCCCAGGUGAAGGAAGGGUGAUUUUGGGAUGGGGGGGCCUUCCUGAAACCUCUGAAGAAACAGCACACCAGCACCUCUGCCAGCCAGCUGCAUCCAGGAUCAAUGUUCCCCCUAGUUCUGGUUCACUCUUUUGAAGCUUUCCAAGUCCCAGAAGUGAAUUCUUAGCCUUUCUUUGAGCUCUCUUUGGUCCAGGCACAGCUGUAGGAAAAAUUGUACAGUGGCAUGAAAAAAGUGAAGGGUUUAGUGUAGUAAAUUCUGCAAAUUUUCUUUUAAAAAAAACUGCAUUUUAAAAAAUAAAAAUACUAUGUCCUAUUGUAAGGUAAAUGUAUUUCUACAUAUGCAUGUACACAAAUGUACUUAAGGGAUAAUUCAGUUGAAAGUCGUUAUAGAUCUUUACUGUAAAAAUCCUUGGUUUACCCAAAUUAAUGUUUCUCCUGAAAAUGAGAAUUCUUGAAUUACAUUGGAUUUGGGGGAACAACUGCUAAUCUAUAGGACGUGAGCAUCUGGUAGGUGCCCAAUAUAUUUUUUAUACACCUGCAUAUAAAGUGCAAAUACUCUGGGCUGGGCAACAUGGUUUUCAGUUUUUGCACAUGUGCACACACACGUGUGUGUAUGUGGUAAUACGUUCUUAUGCGUUCUAUCCAAAUGGUAUUCAGAAACAAUACUGUGGCUUUAUUUGAUGCACUUGUAUUUUUUUCCAUUAUGGUUGGUUUUGAAUACACUCACAAUUACUGUUUUCAAA